rnacentral:sRNA from 1 species
UGCUUCAUACGGUGUCUUUCUUACAUUCC